ACAGUUUCAGAAACUCAGUUGUAAAUCUAAGUAGUUGAGAAUGUCAGAAUUUACUGUCCCCCAAUCUUACGACCUUAGGCAAGUCAAAUCUGCCAUUUUGUCUCCUUAACUGUAAAAUGACUAGAGUAGAUUAGUGGUUGGGAGCUGCCUUUUACAGAGAACUGAAGAGUAGUUCUUUUUAUUAUUAUUAUUAUUAUUAUUAUUAUUACUAUUAUUUAUAUUGUUAAAAAUCAGAAUUCAACCAAGUGAAUUUGAAGAUCUAAUUGGCUGUAUUAAAUGAUUCAUGAGUGGGAUAGCAUCCCAUUUAGCAAGUAAAGGGGAGCUCCCAAGAGCUACAGAAAGAGAAUUUUUAAAGGUAGGACAAGGGAAAUUAUAAACUUUUAGAAAAGAGGAUUAUUUCCAGGUGAGGUCACCUUCAUUUAGAGACCCAAAAAAGAAUCUUAGUAGGUGAAUUAUCUCAUCUUUCUUUGGGAGUUGGGGAGAGGACCCAUGUGACAAGAUUACAUCAUUGGUGCUGACCAGAACAUUCCUAACUGGUUAAGACUACAUUUCAAGGGGAGGUUAAAAGUACAAUUACAUUAGGUAUUGGUGACUUGGCCUAAGUGAUGCCACUUUGGGCCUGUGGGUUUCUUUUAACAAUAUAUUGAGAAAAGGUCCCAUCAGUUAAAAAAAAAGAAAAAGAAAUUUCAACAUAUUCAUGUUUAAUGGUUAUGCUCACUCAAAACAUUCAACACUAGUUUUAGUUUGGUGUGACAGUACUACAGCUAUGUUUAGAACUACUAUGUAGUAUACUGAAGUAGGGGGAAAUAGUACUGCUUUUUGUCACUCAUGUCUUUAAAGUUCUUUUCAGAAUAAGUGUCAAUCAUUUAUGGUGAUUGUAAAUAAUGGUGCCCUUAACUUCAUGUGUUUCCCUGACAUUUCAUUCUGAUUUUUUUCUUGACGUGGUGAGCAAUUAGUAAGUAGUGUUCACUCACUUUCAAUUACUAAAGACAAAAAAAAAAAUUUACUAAAGACAAGAAUUAUGUACAUUUACUAAUGUUUUCCCCACAAUAAAUAUCAUUUUUUCUACUCCUCAUGGGACUUAGUUAAACAGACAUUUGAUUUAUGUCUUUCUUGCUCUGUAAUUGAAUGAGAUUCAUCAAGGUAACUGUACACUAAAUUCCAUCAUUACAUUGUAAUCCUACAUUUAUUCCCAGGAGUGGGAAUUGAAGUUUGGUAAUCUACCUCCAUAUAUGUCUAUACUCCACAGCUGAAACCUGUUCACUCGUGUUCUACCAUUCCUGUUUGGUAGAAGAACUCUAUGAAUAUGGAGACUCUUCACAAGAGGCCCAGAACAAGAAUUCUAAGUAAAUGAGAAAAUACUGAAGAAAAGAAACAAACACAAUGUUUUAUACUAUCUGGAGAAUACCUACCCGACCCGAUGGAGAUAAAAAGAUGCCAAAGAGGAUUGAUUACAGGGAACCUGGGUAGCUCAGUCAGUUGAGCAGCCCUAACUCUUGAUUUUGAUUGAGGUCAUAGUCUUGGGGUCCUGGGAUCCAGUCUGCGUCAGGCUCCAUGGGAGUCCACUUGAGGAUUCUCUCUCCCUCUGUCUCUCCCCUGUUUGUAUGCGCAGGUGCAUGCACGCUCUCUUUCUCAAAUAAAUAGAUCUUUAAAAAAAACUGAA